rnacentral:rRNA from 1 species
AUUGAACGCUGGCGGCAGGCCUAACACAUGCAAGUCGAGCGGAUGAAGGGAGCUUGCUCCUGGAUUCAGCGGCGGACGGGUGAGUAAUGCCUAGGAAUCUGCCUGGUAGUGGGGGAUAACGUCCGGAAACGGGCGCUAAUACCGCAUACGUCCUGAGGGAGAAAGUGGGGGAUCUUCGGACCUCACGCUAUCAGAUGAGCCUAGGUCGGAUUAGCUAGUUGGUGGGGUAAAGGCCUACCAAGGCGACGAUCCGUAACUGGUCUGAGAGGAUGAUCAGUCACACUGGAACUGAGACACGGUCCAGACUCCUACGGGAGGCAGCAGUGGGGAAUAUUGGACAAUGGGCGAAAGCCUGAUCCAGCCAUGCCGCGUGUGUGAAGAAGGUCUUCGGAUUGUAAAGCACUUUAAGUUGGGAGGAAGGGCAGUAAGUUAAGACCUUGCUGUUUGGACGUUACCAACAGAAUAAGCACCGGCUAACUUCGU